ACACAAACAAAGACAGAGAUAUCAUUCCUUAGUCCAUGGACCAAUCCCUAUAAAGCUGCUGGAUUAAUCUGGUCCAUGAUGUCGGGCUCCAUCUCUUGUACCAGUCCUUCAGAGCACGACAGGCUGUGUGCAGUGUUGGAUUGUUGCCUGCUGAUGACACCACGGAACUUGUCUGGUAACUGCUGAGCUGGUCUGGUUUCAUCAAAGUUCAUUCUUUGUUGGGAUGAUGGUUGGAGGGAAGUCAGGGCCAGUCGCUGGUGAUCUCAAGAUAUCUAGUUGGUGGGCUAUAAAAGUGCUACAUAGCAGGCAACAGCAUACAAUUGAGUUCAUUGGCUGCACGUUUCACACUCAUUAAUAACUUGGACAAUAGUGUCCGUUGUUAAGUCCACCCCUCAGUCAGGAGCCCAUCUGUAUGUUGCAUCUCUGCCCUCAUGUCCUGAAGUGUCAUGGGCACCCUGGGCCAAAAAUAAUUCACCUUUAUGUUGCCAAUCUAAGUCCAUCUGAGCCACUUCAAUCAUAGCAGCUUUAUCCACUUGUUGGUUGUUCUGGUGUUCCUCAGUGGCCCGACUCUUGGGUACAUGAGCAUCUACGUGGCGUACCUUCACCAGCAGUUUCUGCACCUGGGCAGCGAUACCUUUCCACAGUGCAGCAGCCCAGAUGGGUUUACCUCUGCGUUGCCAGUUGCUCUGCUUCCAUUGCUGCAACCACCCCCCCAGGGCAUUUGCCACCAU